UCCCUGGUGGCUCAGUUGGUAAAGUGUCUGUCUACAAUACAGGAGACCCGGGUUCUAUCCCUGGGUUGGGAA
rnacentral:tRNA from 1 species